UAAUGCAACCAUCGUACGUGAGUACCUCGGAAACGGUACCGAGUGUACUACGUACAAUCGUAAUACUGUAACGUACAACACAGGCAUUCGAGCAUAAAAAUCCACAUGACGACAAAACCUGGGCUAUAACCGAUAAUCGAUAAAUGGCAAAUUAAAAAACAUUCAAGAGUCGACGCUUGAGAAUGAGGAGAAAACAGGACGGAUUUUCCUUGAAGGAAUACCGUGACAAAAACGUUGAGGCGCUUCCGUAAAUAAUCAUUGAACGAAUUGUGGAUUCCGUAACUUAAACUGAAAAUUUCUUUCAUUAUAACGGAUUUCCC